rnacentral:rRNA from 1 species
AAAUUGAAGAGUUUGAUCAUGGCUCAGAUUGAACGCUGGCGGCAGGCCUAACACAUGCAAGUCGAACGGUAACAGGAAACAGCUUGCUGUUUCGCUGACGAGUGGCGGACGGGUGAGUAAUGUCUGGGAAACUGCCUGAUGGAGGGGGAUAACUACUGGAAACGGUAGCUAAUACCGCAUAAUGUCGCAAGACCAAAGAGGGGGACCUUCGGGCCUCUUGCCAUCGGAUGUGCCCAGAUGGGAUUAGCUUGUUGGUGGGGUAACGGCUCACCAAGGCGACGAUCCCUAGCUGGUCUGAGAGGAUGACCAGCCACACUGGAACUGAGACACGGUCCAGACUCCUACGGGAGGCAGCAGUGGGGAAUAUUGCACAAUGGGCGCAAGCCUGAUGCAGCCAUGCCGCGUGUAUGAAGAAGGCCUUCGGGUUGUAAAGUACUUUCAGCGGGGAGGAAGGGAGUAAAGUUAAUACCUUUGCUCAUUGACGUUACCCGCAGAAGAAGCACCGGCUAACUCCGUGCCAGCAGCCGCGGUAAUACGGAGGGUGCAAGCGUUAAUCGGAAUUACUGGGCGUAAAGCGCACGCAGGCGGUUUGUUAAGUCAGAUGUGAAAUCCCCGGGCUCAACCUGGGAACUGCAUCUGAUACUGGCAAGCUUGAGUCUCGUAGAGGGGGGUAGAAUUCCAGGUGUAGCGGUGAAAUGCGUAGAGAUCUGGAGGAAUACCGGUGGCGAAGGCGGCCCCCUGGACGAAGACUGACGCUCAGGUGCGAAAGCGUGGGGAGCAAACAGGAUUAGAUACCCUGGUAGUCCACGCCGUAAACGAUGUCGACUUGGAGGUUGUGCCCUUGAGGCGUGGCUUCCGGAGCUAACGCGUUAAGUCGACCGCCUGGGGAGUACGGCCGCAAGGUUAAAACUCAAAUGAAUUGACGGGGGCCCGCACAAGCGGUGGAGCAUGUGGUUUAAUUCGAUGCAACGCGAAGAACCUUACCUGGUCUUGACAUCCACGGAAGUUUUCAGAGAUGAGAAUGUGCCUUCGGGAACCGUGAGACAGGUGCUGCAUGGCUGUCGUCAGCUCGUGUUGUGAAAUGUUGGGUUAAGUCCCGCAACGAGCGCAACCCUUAUCCUUUGUUGCCAGCGGUCCGGCCGGGAACUCAAAGGAGACUGCCAGUGAUAAACUGGAGGAAGGUGGGGAUGACGUCAAGUCAUCAUGGCCCUUACGACCAGGGCUACACACGUGCUACAAUGGCGCAUACAAAGAGAAGCGACCUCGCGAGAGCAAGCGGACCUCAUAAAGUGCGUCGUAGUCCGGAUUGGAGUCUGCAACUCGACUCCAUGAAGUCGGAAUCGCUAGUAAUCGUGGAUCAGAAUGCCACGGUGAAUACGUUCCCGGGCCUUGUACACACCGCCCGUCACACCAUGGGAGUGGGUUGCAAAAGAAGUAGGUAGCUUAACCUUCGGGAGGGCGCUUACCACUUUGUGAUUCAUGACUGGGGUGAAGUCGUAACAAGGUAACCGUAGGGGAACCUGCGGUUGGAUCACCUCCUUA